GCCCAGAUGGCGAAAUUGGUAGACGCGCUACCUUGAGGGGGUAGUGUCCUUAUGGAUGUGCAGGUUCGAAUCCUGUUCUGGGCACGA
rnacentral:tRNA from 2 species